UUUUCUGCGGCUUAGCAGAAGCGUCGUUUGGGGGUCGAGCCACUAAUGCAGAAGAUUCAUAGCGGGAUUCACCAAGUGGACGCUGGCAUCCUCCCGCCGUCCGGCACCAGCGCUAGAGAUACUGUAUGGAGCUGAUAUUCCUCAGAAACUUUUUUGUUUCGUCAUAUGAAGUUCCUGCAAUCUAGGUUCUAAUUCCAUCCUCCUCCAGCCUGGAUAUGAUGAAGCCCAUCCAUUUGUCCGUUCUUCGGCAGGGUCACAAAGUCUUUGUGCCAAGAUUCUUCCCUUUGUAAAUAUGAAAGCAGCUUGCACGAUCUAUUCACAGACUUGCUCUGCUGCUUUGUAGCC